ACCGGCGGCUCGAGUGGUAACCGUUAUUAUUGGGCCUAAAGGGUCUGUAGCCGGCCUGAUAAGUCUCUUGAGAAAUCCAGCAGCUCAACUGUUGGGCUUUCAGGAGAUACUGUUAGACUUGAGGCCGGGAGAGGUGAGGGGUACUUCCGGGGUAGGGGUGAAAUCAUAUAAUCCUGGGAGGACCACCGGUGGCGAAGGCGCCUAACUGGAACGGACCUGACGGUAAGGAACGAAAGCCAGGGGCGCGAACCG
rnacentral:rRNA from 1 species